UACGUAGGUGGCAAGCGUUGUCCGGAUUUAUUGGGCGUAAAGCGCGCGCAGGUGGUUUCUUAAGUCUGAUGUGAAAGACCACGGCUUAACCGUGGAGGGUCAUUGGAAACCGGGAGACUUGAGUACAGAAGAGGAAAGUGGAAUUCCAAGUGUAGCGGUGAAAUGCGUAGAGAUUUGGAGGAACACCAGUGGCGAAGGCGACUUUCUGGUCUGUAACUGACACUGAGGCGCGAAAGCGUGGGGAGCAAAC
rnacentral:rRNA from 1 species